UUUAACGGCCGCGGUAUCCUAACCGUGCAAAGGUAGCGUAAUCACUUGUCCCUUAAAUAGGGACCAGUAUGAACGGCUAAAUGAGGAUAAACCUGUCUCCUUUAACCAAUCAGUGAAACUGAUCUACCAGUACAAAAGCUGGUAUAAACCCAUAAGACGAGAAGACCCUGUGGAGCUUUAAAUUUUAACCAAGCAACUAACGCAAUCCCAGCCAAUGGCUAAAAAUUUUAAGUUGGGGCGACUUCGGAAAUAAACCAAACUUCCGAGCAUAAGAUCAACGUCUUACCAAGACCUACAAGUCAAAGCUAAAAUUGACCCAGUACCACUGACAACCGAACCAAGUUACCCCAGGGAUAACAGCGCAAUCUUCUUUAAGAGUCCAUAUCGACAAGAAGGUUUACGACCUCGAUGUUGGAUCAGGACACCCAAAUGGUGCAGCCGCURUUAAAGGUUC
rnacentral:rRNA from 1 species